UGUGGUGGCGAUAGCGAGAAGGAUACACCUGUAACCAUGCCGAACACAGAAGUUAAGCUUCUUAGCGCCGAUUGUAGUGAGGGGUUGCCCCU
rnacentral:rRNA from 2 species